CUUGUCUCAAAGAUUAAGCCAUGCAUGUCUAAGUAUAAGCAAUUAUACAGCGAAACUGCGAAUGGCUCAUUAUAUAAGUUAUCGUUUAUUUGAUAGUACCUUACUACUUGGAUAACCGUGGUAAUUCUAGAGCUAAUACAUGCUAAAAAUCCCGACUUCGGAAGGGAUGUAUUUAUUAGAUUAAAAACCAAUGCCCUCUGGGCUCUCUGGUGAUUCAUGAUAACUUCUCGAAUCGCAUGGCCUUGCGCCGGCGAUGGUUCAUUCAAAUUUCUUCCCUAUCAACUUUCGAUGUUUGGGUAGUGGCCAAACAUGGUUGCAACGGGUAACGGAGGGUUAGGGCUCGACCCCGGAGAAGGAGCCUGAGAAACGGCUACUACAUCCAAGGAAGGCAGCAGGCGCGCAAAUUACCCAAUCCCGAUUCGGGGAGGUAGUGACAAUAAAUACUGAUACAGGGCUCUUUUGGGUCUUGUAAUUGGAAUGAGUACAAUUUAAAUCCCUUAACGAGGAACAAUUGGAGGGCAAGUCUGGUGCCAGCAGCCGCGGUAAUUCCAGCUCCAAUAGCGUAUAUUAAAGUUGUUGUGGUUAAAAAGCUCGUAGUUGAACCUUGGGCCUGGCUGGCCGGUCCGCCUCACCGCGUGUACUGGUCCGGCCGGGCCUUUCCCUCUGUGGAACCCCAUGCCCUUCACUGGGUGUGGCGGGGAAACAGGACUUUUACUUUGAAAAAAUUAGAGUGCUCCAGGCAGGCCUAUGCUCGAAUACAUUAGCAUGGAAUAAUAAAAUAGGACGUGCGGUUCUAUUUUGUUGGUUUCUAGGACCGCCGUAAUGAUUAAUAGGGACAGUCGGGGGCAUCAGUAUUCAAUUGUCAGAGGUGAAAUUCUUGGAUUUAUUGAAGACUAACUACUGCGAAAGCAUUUGCCAAGGAUGUUUUCAUUAAUCAGGAACGAAAGUUAGGGGAUCGAAGACGAUCAGAUACCGUCGUAGUCUUAACCAUAAACUAUGCCGACUAGGGAUCGGACGAUGUUAUUUUUUGACUCGUUCGGCACCUUACGAGAAAUCAAAGUGCUUGGGCUCCAGGGGGAGUAUGGUCGCAAGGCUGAACUUAAG
rnacentral:rRNA from 1 species